AAACCGAUCAAACCAAUCACAGAGCACCUGCGGGCGCUCACCUCCCUCGCGGGGGGUGGGGCGGCCCGCCGUUUACAGGAUCCGCCGGCCGGGGGCCCCCACGGCCCCCGCCCGGUCCGGAGCCCCAACCCAUCCAACCCUCUGCCCUGAAGCAGCUUCGCACGGGGACACCCCUGCGACGUAACAGAGACAACUCUCAACAACGGAUAUCUUGGCUCUCGCAACGAUGAAGAACGCAGCGAAAUGCGAUACGUAGUGUGAAUUGCAGAAUUCCGUGAAUCAUCGAAUCUUUGAACGCACAUUGCCGGUCGACUCUUCGGAGGAGACCACAUCUGCCUCAGCGUCGGAAUACCCCCUCACGCGCUCCCGCGUGGACCUGGCCCCCCCGGUCACUCGCCCCCGCGCGAGCCGGGCCGGCUGAAAUGCAGAGGCUCGUGCGCGGCCCAUUCGUGGCCCCGACUAGGUAGGUAGCUCGCUACUGCUAGGCGGAGGCUCGGCGUCGCGUGCUCUGGGCCCCAAAGGAUA
rnacentral:rRNA from 1 species